GCGGCAGCCGUUUUUUGCGCGGCAAACCUCGAGGCGCGAACAAGCAUCGCCAUUCCGCCCUGCUGCUGCAGCCGCGGACGACGGUGGUAGCCCGUCGUCGCCGCGCUGUCUCCUUUCGCCGUCAAACUGCAGCAAGCAACCACCGGCGAAGCGCGUGCCGGAAGUGACGUGCACAGUGUAGCAGGGCAAGAAAACAAGGCGUUGACAUCACGUCCGCUCGUGCAGCCUUUUUGCCCGGAAGUUCCAAUUCUCUCUCCCCGUGGCUGAGACUUCAACCUCGUUCCUCGUAGGCCGCUACUGUCAGCACUGGAUUAAGUUUUAAUACUUAAGUGUCUUGUCUCCGGCCUGUCUUGAUAUGUGCGUUCGCCAGAAGCAAGCACGCUCGGGAAGCAAUCAACUGCGUGCACUGUCGACAUUCGGAAUCAUCAACUGCUGUGAAAUUGCGAGGAAGACGGCGCUGGGAACCCUGUUGUCGCACAUGGGUGCGCACCCCGAGGAUUAUGCCAGCGCAGUCUGAAGCAUCUCCUCCUCUUCGCCUGCACGGGAUCCUGUUCCCGUCCUGGCCAGCGACACGUUUGUGGCGUGACAGCGGACGACGCUCCAGUUUCGACCCGCGGCCCUCUCGCCUCGCACGCCGGGAACAAAUCAGGCGGAGGGCGCGAACCUUCGUCGGCGGACCCGAGGCGGCAAGCGGGCCCUUGGAGGAGGAGAGCGGCAGCCCGCGGAUCGCGCGGCGGGGACCUCUGCGGCCGGCGGCACACCGAGCAGCAGCGGCGGCGUGGCCGGCCCCCGGUAGCCGGGCGGCGGCCAUGCCCGUGACGCCCUGCGGCGGCAGCAGCAGCGAGCGGUCCUGCUGCCGGCUGCUGCGGCAGCAGCGACGACGACGAGACGAGGCGGCACAGGGGCCCGUGCGGCGGCCAUGAGCAACGGCAGCAGUACGGCUAACCUGAGCUGGCUUGACGGCGUGGCGGCGCUGAACGCGACGCUCGACGGCAAUGACUCGGCGGCGGCAGACGACGAGGGCGGCGGGUGGCCUCUGGUGCCCGACGACCCGUGGGACGGGUCGCCCUACCCGAGCCGCUACUCCAAGCUGAGCUUUGUGGUGACCGCGUUCGUGGUCACCUGCAUCAUGAUCCUCAUCGUUGUGGGCAACAUGCUGGUGUGCAUCGCGAUCGCCACCGAGAAGACGCUCAAGACGAUCCAGAACUGGUUCAUCGCCUCCCUGGCAGUGUCCGACUUCCUCAUCGGGCUCAUCAUCAUGCCCUUCUCGCUCGCCAAGGAGCUGAUGGGCUACUGGAUCUUCGGCACGCUCUGGUGCGACGUGCACGCCGCACUGGACGUGCUCAUCUGCACCGCCUCCAUCAACAACCUGUGCCUCAUCAGCCUGGACCGAUACUGGUCAGUCACGCACGCCGUCGAGUACCUCAAGAAGCGCACCGCCUCGCGAGCCAUGGCCAUGAUAUGUUUCGUGUGGCUCCUGUCGGCGCUCAUCUCGCUGCCUCCGCUCGUCGGCUGGAAGAAGUCCCAGCAGGCCUCCGACUACCCCCAGUGUUCCGUGUCCGAGGACGUCGGUUAUGUGUUGUACUCGGCCCUCGGGUCGUUCUAUGUUCCCGCGGUCGUCAUGGUGUUUGUGUACAUCAGGAUAUUCCUGGCGGCCCGCUCGCGCGCGCGCCGGCACGUCAAGAAGCAGGCCCGGCACGUACCAGAGCUCACGAACGAUCCGGUGCGCGACAAGUCGACGACGACCACGACGACGACGUGCACCAGCUUCAGCAACCCGAGCCCGCCGGACUCCUCGGCGGCGGCGCACAAGAUGAACGGCGGCGGCGGUGGCGGUGGCGGUGGCGGCGGCGGGGCGCAGCGCAGGGGCAUCCUGCCCAGCGCCGCGCCGCAGAUCAUCAUCGAGACUCCCGAAGAACCGAGCUCGGCGCCGCCGUCGCCCCCGUUGCCGUCCCGCCGCCAGGAGGGCCUCGGCGGGCUCAGGGCCCCGGAGGUCGGCCUCCGCGCCGACGACUCCGAGGCGGCGCCGCUGCAGGGCUCGCACGACGCGCCGGGCUUGCUGAGCGCGCCGCAGACGCGGAUCGCGCGCUCCCCUUACGGCUCCACGCUGUCGCUCAAUGAGCGCGACGAGGACAGCGAGCUGUGCGAGUCUUCCAACGCGGCGGGAGGAGAAUCCUCGGGCGGCAGCGGCGGCGGCACCACCGGCAAGCGGGGCGGCCGCCCCACACCGACCUCCAAGCGGCGGCCGGCGCCCCCGCAGGGACUGACGUACGCAGUGGCGCGCCACACCCCGUCAGACGCCGAGCGCCACAAGCGCAAGCUGGCCAAGGCCCGCGAGCGCCGCGCCACCAUGAUCCUGGGCCUGAUCAUGGCUGCUUUCAUCCUGGCCUGGCUGCCCUUCUUCGUCCUCUACGUGCUGGGCGCGCUCUGCAAGCGCUGUGACAUCAGCGGCACGGUGUUUGCGGUCGCCUUUUGGCUCGGCUACUGUAACUCGGCCGUCAACCCAAUCAUCUACACCAUCUUCAACCGAGACUUCCGCAAGGCCUUCCGCAAAAUCCUCUUCAAGUGAUCCUGCGCCGCCGCUGCCGCCAUCCGGCCCGGCGCUGCUGUCUUCCACGGCGCCGCCUGGCCCGCCACUGCCGCCGGCGCGGCGCAGCCUCGCCCGUCGAAGGAUCCCCGCCGCCGCCGCUGAAAACCCCGCUCUGCCCGCCGCUCCUAAUCCUCGUUGUUUACCAUUGGGAGCCUCCACCACGAACCGAGAGAAGGCGCUCCGUGCGUGUGAAGCGCCCGCUCGCCAAACGGAGUCCGCCUUCCGCGCGCGCCCAGGGACCUGUCCACGCCGUCUGUGGCCUGUGCGUCUCGCGCAUCGACAGUCCAGCCGCGACGCCACCACCGCGCGCACACGCACACGCGGCGUGAAACACCGAGUGCUGCUGUGCCGUGCUGUGCUCCGCGCUGCGCACACAUGCCACGACCGCACAACUGUGUAUACAUGUUUGUUAACUGCCGUAGCACCGCGCUAUCUUUGCCCUGCACUAACCCCACGCGACCCGCCCUACUUACACAUGCUACGGCGACGACACCACCCCAUUCUACUCGUCGUAUCUACUUUGCUCGGACGGUGGCACUCGGGGCGGGUGCCGUUCCAAGAUUCGAUGAGGAACAAUAUCCGCCGCUAACUCUCGUUCCCGCAGUUCUUUUUUCUUCGUGGAAGUGUCGCGCAUCGGCGCUUCGCAAAGGCCUAGCAACACGCACAAUACACACGCAGACAAAAGAAACACAAAUCGAGUUUCGCAGCUGUUGUUGCUGCCCGUUCGUCAAGUAGCAGGGCCAGGUUCGCUUGUUCAUAGAGCGUACGCCAGCAGCCAGAUGAAACGACGUUGUGUGGACAUGCAAAGCCUGGCAGCAGAAUUUGUUGACUCGAAUCGUUCUUGCGCCACCGGUGUUUAGAGCGCACGACGGUGACCUUGCACAAAUCGGCGCGCAACAUGGUGGCGCGCUGUUGUCGAACCACGCACCUAACAAUGCCGUACGCAACUUAACUGUCCUUUCUGUAGUUAGAGCACAAGUGACAAGGUGGCUUCUUUUCGUCUGGCUGCUGGAGUAUAUAGUGUCGUUUGGUGCCAGUGCUUUUAGGAUCAUGUUCGUUUCAUUGGUUGACGCUUCGUGCUUUUUGAGAUGUUGAAGUGGACCGUACACGAACAGAAACAACCGAAGGACGUUCUCGACACCAGAUGCAAGGCAAGUUUACAUACCAUGCCUAAAAAAUACCGGAAUGCUUUAUGGUGUGCGAACUCGGACAGAAACACACACACACGCCCAAACACACACAUGCAAGCACAGCGCGCGCUCCUAACACACACACACGCACACAAAGACACACACACACACACACACACACACACACACACACACACACACACACACACACACACACACACACACACACACACACACACACACGCAUAUAAUAUAUAACUUACUGAGCGGUCACUGUUUCCCCUGAGCUGAUGCAUAUAUUAUAUAGCAGCCGAGGUGUAUAUACUGCUACUUAAUGCGAUAAAUGUCACGCUGUUCCGAACAUUUAUAAACGCGAUCUUCUAAGAGAGAGCUUCCCGAUGGCGAGAACAUUGCACGCUUUUCUCUUCUUUUUUUUUCUUUUUAUUUUUUUGCAACGGCGUCGUCUACGUUAUUUUCUUUAUCCCCUAUGUGUGGGGUCACUCAAGCGUUCUACUCUCUAUUAAGGCACACUAAAUGCACAAUAAUAAACACCAAAGUUUCACCUUCA
rnacentral:misc_RNA from 1 species